AUUGAACGCUGGCGGCAUGCCUUACACAUGCAAGUCGAACGGUAACAGGUCUUCGGAUGCUGACGAGUGGCGAACGGGUGAGUAAUACAUCGGAACGUGCCUAGUAGUGGGGGAUAACUACUCGAAAGAGUGGCUAAUACCGCAUGAGAUCUACGGAUGAAAGCAGGGGAUCGCAAGACCUUGUGCUACUAGAGCGGCCGAUGGCAGAUUAGGUAGUUGGUGGGAUAAAAGCUUACCAAGCCGACGAUCUGUAGCUGGUCUGAGAGGACGAUCAGCCAGAGUGGGACUGAGACACGGCCCAGACUCCUACGGGAGGCAGCAGUGGGGAAUUCUGGACAAUGGGCGCAAGCCUGAUCCAGCAAUGCCGCGUGCAGGAUGAAGGCCUUCGGGUUGUAAACUGCUUUUGUACGGAACGAAAAGCCCUGGGUUAAUACCCUGGGGUCAUGACGGUACCGUAAGAAUAAGCACCGGCUAACUACGUGCCAGCAGCCGCCGUAA
rnacentral:rRNA from 1 species